ensembl:misc_RNA Metazoa_SRP Metazoan signal recognition particle RNA
GCCAGGUAUGGUGGCGGGUACCUGUAAUCCCAGCUACUUGGGAGGCUGAGGCAGGAGAAUUGCUUGAACUCAGGAGCUGGGUUGCAGUGAGCUGAGAUCACACCACUGCACUCCAGCCUGGGCAAUAAGAGCGAAACUCUGUCUCCA